AAAGUUCCCUUCGGGGCUUUCUGGCAAGGUGCUGCAUGGUUGUCGUCAGCUCGUGCCGUGAGGUGUCGGGUUAAGUCCCAUAACGAGCGCAACCCUUAUCGUUAGUUGCCAUCUGGUAAUGCAGGGGACUCUAGCGAAACUGCCACGUAAGGUGAGAGGAAGGUGGGAUGACGUCAAAUCAGCACGGCCCUUAUGUCCAGGGCUACACACGUGCUACAAUGGUUGGUACAAAGGGUUGCCAAGCCGUGAGGCGGAGCCAAUCUCAAAAAGCCAACCUCAGUUCGGAUUGCAGUCUGCAACUCGACUGCAUGAAGUUGGAAUCGCUAGUAAUCGCGGAUCAGCAUGCCGCGGUCGAAUACGUUCCGGGCCUUGU
rnacentral:rRNA from 1 species